UACGAAGGGGGCUAGCGUUGCUCGGAUUGACUGGGCGUAAAGGGCGCGUAGGCGGUUCGUACAGUCAGACGUGAAAUCCUGGGCUCAACCUGGGGGCUGCGUUUGAUACGUGCGGGCUUGAGUGCGGAAGAGGGUCGUGGAAUUCCCAGUGUAGAGGUGAAAUUCGUAGAUAUUGGGAAGAACACCGGUGGCGAAGGCGGCGACCUGGUCCGAUACUGACGCUGAGGCGCGAAAGCGUGGGGAGCAAACAGG
rnacentral:rRNA from 1 species